GCGGGCGUCGUCGUCUCGGCCCUGCAGCCGCGCCAGGAGUCCGCGCUGCACAAAGCUCUGGCGGGCGGCGCGGCCCCGGCCGCCGCUCAGCUCCACCGCGCGUUCCAGAUCCUCCAGGGCGCCUGCGGGACCGACGAGACGGGCGGGGCGGGGGUCAGCGGAGGCCAGGGCGGCCUUGCCCGAGCCCCAGCCCACCUGCGGCCGCGCGGAUCACCGUGGUUCUUGCGGCUCCCGGGCGUGGCCAUUUACAACCCGCCUCGCACCUGCUAGAGAAAAGACCCCGGCCAUGGAUGGGAGACCUAGGACAAAGAUGGAAAAGAGUGCUUGGCACCAGACAGCUGCUCAAUGAGGAACACAACUGCAUCAUGGAGAAUCCCCAGCAUCCUCAAACCGUUAACACCUAGAAGAAUCAGAAGCACCAGGGAAGUGAGGAGCGCAGUCAACAGGAAACAGCAUGGUCCUACAGAAAUGCCUAUGCUAUAGUCACUCUGCCAGAGGCUGCUCCAGGGUGAAUUAUAGUACAUAUUAGCUCGAAAUUAGCAUCAGAUAGCCAUUAAAAUGAUGCUGAUACAGAUCUAU
rnacentral:lncRNA from 1 species